rnacentral:lncRNA from 1 species
AUCAAGAUUAAAUAUAAAAUCAGCUUCAACUUCGUUGAACGGAAGAUCAACCCUAUUCAAAGGUGCCGUUACAAGUUCUUCAUCAACCAAAAGUUCGACUAAUAUUUAUUUUUCUUGCUAAAAAGCUUCCUCUUCAUGUAAAUCUGAAUUUUCAUCUAACUCUAAUCGAGUUGGUAUGUCAUAUACAUCUCUAAGAGUUAUUUUUUGUACAAUAUAUUAAUUACCUCGAUACUUUAGAUCCUUCAAAUAUAUUACUUAUUUCACUUGAGUUGCUAAUAUAUACGGCUCAUUUUGGUACCAUGUUCGGGCAAGA